rnacentral:lncRNA from 1 species
UGAAAUGAUUUUGUACCAUUUGAGAAAUUUGGGAUCUUCGUAUCAAUUAUUUGCUAAUUGAUACGUUUUUAUUUUGAAGGGAAUUUUGGACGGACCAAUUUCGAUUUGAGGAAAAGGUCCAUCCAACUUUAUUUGAUGGUUUGUUAACUGGUAUUUUCUAGCACCUGAGAAUUGUCAAUGGUUGGCUCCAUUAAACAUGUGAGAGUUGUUAUACUGUUCGAACUCUUGAAUUUGGAAGAUGACCCACUUGCCCUUCAUCCUUCUUUGACGAUUUUUGGAUAUUUGGCUGGGAACAUGCAAGUCUUUGCAUGUCCAGCAAAACCAAUUGGUUGGGCUUUGGGUUUGCUAUUAUCACAUCUUCACUAAACAAAAAACUCUUCACCCCACUUUCUUCCUUUACUUUUUUACUAAACAACUGCAAUGCAUUCCUUCUUUGAUUUGUAACUGGAGCUUUUGCUGGGGCAAAGUCCCAUUUAGCUUGGCCUGCAGGACGCCAGAGAAAGGCUUGUUGCCCACUUGUGCAUUCAUUUUCUUCUUUAUUUGUUAAAGACUCCAAGGCUACAGGGAAAUUGAGGGGUGCAAAUUAAUUCUCUUGUGCCUGACUUGGAGAAGUUUUGGUCUGACAAGAAGACAAUUUUCUUUUUGUACAGAAACCUCUUGAAUAUCUUUGUCUUUCUGUUUGUUACUCAAGAGCACCUGCAUUAUUUUCAUCAGGUGUGUCUAUGAACACCUGUAAGGUGCUCACAUCACUUAAUACAGUGGGGUUCUUGCGAAAGUCCAUCUGCGUAUUUUCACAACAGAGAGAUCCUUGCGAGAGCUCACUUUGUGUAAAAGUUGUGCAGCCAUCUCAUCACUAAUUUGGGAGGAUGAAUACAGAGGGGUUCUUAUGGAUGCCCAUCUGUAUAUUUUCACAGAAAGGAGGUCCUUGCGAGAUCUCUUUCUAUGCAAUGUUGCAGUGACACCACUAUUUUAUCUCUGGGAAGGAUGAAAUCCUUUCGUCCGCAGUUUCUUGAGAUCUCUUUGAUAAAUGACAGCAAGGACAUGAAGGAAUUUUGCAGUGCACAUUCUCAAAGCCUUUAUGGCAGAUAGCAGCGGAAUGGGACUUUGAACUUUGAUAGGAAAUCUGUCAUCAAUUUGGUGCCCCAUGACUGUUAUUUUAAAGGUCGACUUCUGUGUAAUGCCCAGGAAACGUCAUUUGCAGAGGCUUGUUUAAUUAAACUUUGCAUAAGAUCUUUGAGUUUUGAACAGCAAGGGAAUAUACUGCACAGAGAAACAUGACGAAAUUUUCUGGGAGAAGAAAUAAACUUUAUACCUUGCCUUCCUUCUGCUCUUUUCUUUCUCUUCCUCCUUGAUCAGAAUCCCAGCAACCUCUUUGUUUUCUCUCUAGACUUUUCUUUCCUGCAGCAGCUUUUAUUUUUGCCUCGUUCAGACUUCUCGCCCCUUAUGUGCAGCCAUUUGGUUUCUUUCUGCUCCUGCCUCUUUUUGCCUCCGUUUUUGCCUUUUUUUCCUGCAGCACCUCCUUCCUUUUUUCUUUUUUUUUUUAACCUCUGUACGUUCAUGUCUUUUAUAGGCAAAAGAUGAAUAGCAGUUGGGAAGCACGUUUGCUAAGUGGGCGGCCUCUCUGCUGAAUGGAGUUGCAGAGGAUAAACACGAUCUCUUCCCACCUUUUAUUUUUUAUUUGUUUUAUUUUAUAUUUCUUUUGAAAACUGACCUUAUCUCCUUUUUAAAUUCUAGAAGGAAUAAUCAGCAGCCUUAAAUAUCAACCUUCAUGUCUUGGGCUUUUAUCCUGGGCCUCUUUCCUUAUCAUGUAAUUUUUUGUGAUCAACAGAGACCAAACUAAUCCUGUUGCAAACCAGUAAGGCGGUGUAAACAUGAGGAAUCAAUAUGCUGAACAAGAUGAACAAUGAGAGUCCAGUUCAAUGAUAAUGUUGAUAGAUAGGGUAGGCAAAUAGGAAUGGAAAGGAAAUCAUUUUUGGAAGUUUUUUUUUUUUUUUUUUUUUUCAGGGUUUGGGGUGUUUUGAAAUUAUGGUAAAGUGGUAAGGGUAUUUUUGGAAGUUAAUUAAGGGAAAACAAGAAUGAGAAUCGUAUUGACUACCCUUCUCUAGUUGAUCUGAUACCUAGUUUUGAGGGGAUAUAAUUACAGAUUUUGAGGUGGGGCCCACUUAUUUUUUAAUUCCAGAUUGCAAGUAAACGCAGGAGAAAUCAGGAAUGGAAAUCAUUCCCUUUCCUCUCAUACCCAUUACUAACAUGUAAACAUUAUAUCUUAAAUAAUAAAUUGAGCUUAGACCCAUAAAAUUCAUUUUGAAUCACCUACAACCCUUUCCUUUAGUUUUCUAUUUAAAAUACCCAAUUUUUUUAAAUAAUACCCGAUGACU